GGGGACGUUAAGGAGGCUGUGUGACUCAUGCAAUCGUAGUUGAAGCGCGCCCUUUAAUAGAUGUCGAUCGAUUUCGCUCAGGUGAAAUUGCUUUUGCUGGAGGGCAUCAACAGCAGCAGCAGCUCUGUAAUUCGAUUUUUACGUAUGUGCUACCCUAUAUAGAUUGCCUUUGAGUAGCGAUCAAAGGGAUGCCCAAGAGCGGAGAGAGAGUUGUGGGUCCGCUGAUUGUCCAAUGACGUCACUCUUAUCUGAAUCGAUCUGCCAUUUCUACGUGCACUAUGUCCUUUUUUUUUUUAUAAAUUUGCCGACUUGAAAUAUUUCACGGAUCGUAGAAGAACUGGACCGACGCUUCGCUGAUUGUACAACAACAACAACAUUUCUCUGUUUUUGGCGCAGAUUUUCGACGCCGGACGAACGAGACGGGAGCCAGUCAAGGAUAUCAUUUAACAUGUCUCCCCUUCAUGUGUGUGUCGAAUGGUGGAGCGUGAAAAUUAUGUCGGGAGCGGGAAAUGGUGGACGUUUUGACGUCUACGAUUGUGUCAUUGUGAUCCCCAGUUUGCUGACAGCUGAUGGUACCGCAACUACGAAAUAAUAACAACACCCGAGACGAAUAAAAAGCUUUUUCGUCUUUGGAACGACCGAUAUGGCAAGCAGAAAAAAAAAACAUUGUGAUGUGGGAUUGGCUGCUUCUACUAUGAUGGAUGCACAUGACCAGCUGGAACAACAACAAAAAAUCGAGGAUUACGAAUGAUCGACAUCUGCAUUUACACACACACGGAGAAAACUUGGUAAUCCAUUCGCCCGUUUGAGACGCGCAUCCCGUGAACGCGUGAUCCGCCCGCGGAACAACACACCAAUCAAUCCCGAGGCCAGCUUCGUAUCACGAAUAUUAUGUUGUGAUCCGUCCGGUUCGUUCCCGUUGACCGCCGAUGGCGCUCUUUUUAUAGAGAGAGAGAGAGUUUGCGUAUGGAAUACGUAAAAGUGAGCGGCACCCAUUUUUUUUUUCUUCCCCUAUUCAACUCAUUACAUAUGGCACAACAAGAGGAAGAAAUUUAUUUUGAAAAAAAAAAAAAAGAAAUGGACAUUAUCAUCAUCAUAAAUCCGCCAUUAGAGACAGACAGAGAAUCGCUCAUUCCCGGCACAUAUGCCGGGUAUAGGUCCUAUAUUAUUCUUCCCCUACAUCGCUAUAUUACAACGCCAUAGAAUUUCGUUUGAAACUUUGGAAUAUGACUCCAUAACUGGAUCGACGGAUUAAACAGGGAGAUGAAGAGCAGCGGCCGGAUGAUGACAAGGACCCCGAUAUGUUUGCAAGAGUCAUUCAUCAGUUUCGUGUGACGUUGACAGGGCAGCUGCUGAGGCCGCACGCGGACGCCAAAGUCAAAAAGCCUCCCCCCGCCGCCGUCCUUUAUGAGCACAUACAAAGAAUAAUACGAGCCAAAUGUAUUAUCGAUCGAUCCGCAGAGCGACAGAGCGUGCAGCUAUCCGACGACAAUGGACAUGACACAAAAUGAUGAAGUUUAAAAGGUCUUUUAUUUUUUUAUUUAAGAAGAAGACAAUCCCCUUUUUUUCUUGAACAGGGUCAUUCGUAUGCAAGGAUUUGAGAAAAAAAAAACAUUUCCUCACGUUCGCUACGAGUUUCCAGGAAAAUGACCGCAAUCGUUUGGCUUGUUGUCAUGGCAACAUGCUGUUGGGAUAGAAGUUUCCAUUGUGUGUUUUCGAACAAACGGAUUCCGAUUAAACCGUAGACUCAACAAUUCCGCGCUUCGGGCUCGUUCAUCAUUCCGUCACAGCAGUUUCGUAUGCGGAUGCCCCAAAAAAGGAAGUUUUUUCUUUUCUCUUCCGAAAUACGGCUAAAGAAAUCUAGGCCUUUCUUUUGCGCCAAACUCUCGGACAUUGAUGCAUUUCUAAAUAGGUGGUUUGAGGAAGAAAGGACGAAUUGCUAUUUUUUGUUUUCCUGGAUAUCCGUUGCGGGAUGUUGCAAGUUAUCCGAAUUUUUUGUUCAAUUUGAUGUACGUCAUCGAGUUGAGCACAUUGUUUACAUCCACCCAGAUAGAUGGACUCAUUAAUCAUGCGAUGAAUAAAAAGAAGAGGGGGGGUAAUUACAACUCCGCUACAAUGUGUGAGCGCCUUCUGGGUGGUGGAGCUCUCUAACAAUAAGAAUGGCUGGCGUGUUUUGCUGAUGCCACACGAUCGAUAAUUUACCCCACUUAAAAAAAAAAAAAUUAUUACGUACACAUUUCUCGCACUUGUCUUUUUUAAAAAAAUCUUAUUUCAGGAUAACCUUUUAUGUUUGGAACUUGUCCUUCAGUUGGAUUUUUCAAAUUCCUGACAGCGGUGGCGCUGAUUUCGUUCAUGUUGUACACGCAGAGGAGCUACCGCGGGAUUCUUAUAUGGCCGGACAUCACGGAGAUAUUCCAAAAGGCGGUGGAGGAAUGUGUUCCAUGACAUUUUCCAGAAAGAAAAAGAAAAAAUGGAUCUCGAACAGAACACAAUGAGGUCAGCAUGUCUACACCUGUUGAUUCAAAUCCUGAAGCAGUCAUCCCUGAUGAUUUAGUCAUACACUUUCAUUACAAGUAAUGUAACACAAAUUGGUCAUCUCAGCAAUUUAAGCCCUAAUUCUUCAUCGGUCAUUAGACUGGUGCAGGCAAAUUGGGUUUCUCACUCAUAUCAACGAUCUUACAACAAACCAUGGUGUGAAAACAUAAAAGAAACUUGUUCGGUUGUGUGUUGCUCAUCAGCAUACGUCCGAACUACUAUUCAACAACGAAAUGGGAUGCAUCGACGGCCGCUCGUCGAUUUACUGGUUGGGGCAGUUUAGCCUAUGGCAAUAAAUGCUUCUGUUGUGCUUGCCGUUGGAUGAAAUCGAUUGAUACGCCGCUGUCGUGACAAUGGAAACUCUGACUAUCGUUGCCGAAAUCUCGUCUGAACACGCAACACUAAAACUCCGUUCGAGGUAGAUUUACCUGGGUGAUCUUGGCGAAUGUGCUUGAAAAUCAAUUGAUCCUCCUCCUCGGAAUCGACGCUCAAUAGAGUCAUGUUUCCACCUCUGCAAAACGCAUCCGCCCUACUCCAAUCGGGACGCUUCAGUAUUUGACGAUGGAAAAACAAUAACACUUGCUUCCCAAGUUCCAGCAAGGCAUGCUCAUGUUGCCUUGUAGAAACUCUGGACAAUAUUCUAACAAUAACAAUCAACAAUGGGAUGUAUUCAUGCCCUUGGACUAUGGAUUCUUGGCUGAGUGAAGCUCAUUUUAUUAUGGCUGGCCCAACAGGCGGCAAUCGUGGUGGCCAGCAGAGUUAACUUGAAGGAACUGCUCUUCAUUUUGCCGUGCGUGUCAGUUCUAACUACGAAUGUGUUUAGAACUCCUAAAAAUUGUGGAGCGGACGUGUUUUGUGAGUGAUUUCUUUACAAGUUCGCCAUCUUCCCAGAUGUUUUUGGCCAUCACAUCAUAUCUCAUCUAUUCAAUCCCAGAAGAAUUAAGGAAAUCAACAUUUUUUGUUAUCGAAUCACAAAGAAAGGCGGUAAUUUAAUGAUGUCCGAAAAAGGUAUGGAGAAAACGGGAUAAUGACUCAGGUGCCUCGAUGGGCGAUAUCCAACUCGUUACAGUGGCUGAUUUGAUGUUCACCACUAAAAUAAUAGAAUAUUUUUCAUUCUACUUGUGGAAUCAAAGGAAUUCAAAAUUUCUACUGGAGAAAAACAAAUGGCCUGCCAUGCGCUCGACGACAAUGAUCUCCUUAAUUGGUGAAAUCAAAUGAAUUCAAAGCUUAAAAUGGUCAACAAGAAAACGUCAAAAUCAACAAAACGGAGAAAAUAUUUCACUUCGCUACACGAUUAACCAACCCGAGAAAAAUAAACAGGAUUAUGAUCCGUUGCGCUACAAGGCUCAUAACCACAAAUUGAGAAAGUGGAAUUUCACUGCUUCAUUCCUUCAUCAAAGGAGGAUUUGAUUCCACUCAACACAACAUGUUUAAUGAUUAAGAGUUGGUCUCUUGUUCGAAAUGGUCUUGUCCUCUCACUAGCGUCCAACAUCACGUUUAUAUCGAUGACUUAGCCAAAUUCACGUACUAUAUUAUGUAAAAAAACAUUACUAUUGGGGUUCCACAUAAUUUUGGUUUUCUUCUUCUGCCUUCAAGUUUCAUCAUUACAGGAAACAACUGGAUUGUCCCAUGGCCUCUGUAAUCGUUCAUCAGAUUAGUAUGAUGCGCCCUGAUCAUCCGGAUUGCAUAUGUAACUCAACCUCAAGAUUGUCAUUGAUACUUGCGGAAUUCGCAGCCACCAGAGCUUCUGAGGAUUUGCUCAAAUGCCUUUAAUCAACUACGUAAAAAUUGUUCUUUUAGAACAGGACUAUCGGUUGUGUUGAAACUGAAACCAUCAAAACUUCAAGUCACCGACAUGCUUUGCAUACAGUGACCAAGUGUCAGCCCCUCUCGUUUUGAUGGGAUUUAUUUGUGUUGAUCAGAUGUAGGAACUAAUAAAGUCCAUGGCUAUGUAUCACUGAGGAACGGUUGAAGACUCCUGCCAACCUUCAAGAAUUGAACCUCCAGGUUAAAUGAAAUCCUCGAUCUGAACAUAAUCUUCGAUGUUAUUUCCUGGACAUGUUCGCUUGUUAUCAAGCGGAUUUAUCGUUCAAUUCCAGGGCUAUGAGGGUUGAAUAUGUUACUACCGCCAAAGGAAAUAAUGAAAAUGUUCACAUCGGAGUCCACAGCUGCCGUUUGGAAUUCGCUGAAUCGGAAAGAUGAAGUAGAAAACCUUUUUUGGAAACUCGUGGACAGGAUUUGCCGACAUAAAAUCCUACCACCCUAUCAAAAAUCUAUUAACUUGUUAUCUUUUGGUGGCUGGGCGAAUUGAGCAGAUUUUGGGUAGCUUAGGUUUUUCAGCAGAUUCGACUAUAAGCUUUAUUUUCUCGAUAUUGUGCUGAUAUUAUGCAAUUUCAUUAUAUUAUUCAUCAUCGGUUGAUAACAAGUAGGUACAUUUUCAAUGGGAUCUCGUGGCGGUGGCGAUUCUGCCCGUGCAGCAACAACCAACAAAAUCAUUGUAACGAGGCCCGACGGUCUUGCACUACGUGUCGGAUUUAAGCGACGAUAUUCGUUGUCAGAACAGCAGUGACGUCAAUCGCGAAUCGUUUUGUUCCAAUAGUGACAGUCAGCCAUUGAUUUCCCUUCAGCAACAGCAUCAUCAUCAUCACAAUACGGCCAUCUUCACCACCAAUUAAGCAGCCAAAGCCAGCCUCACGAUCUUCCUACCACCAUCAGCUGCGCAUUCAAUGCGCCGCAAUGGAGGACAUUGGCAUCCAAGUUUAAACCAAUUUCACACUGCAUCCUAACAUUCAUAUACGUCACCCAUCCCCAUGGAGUUUGAAGGGGUGCCGUGAUAUUACGCUGAUCGAUACAGCCAGCGAACAGCCAGGAGCCGCGCUCGAACAUGUACUCGUAUGAACAAGAGACGGGCCUGACUGCCCUCAACUUGAAGAACGGUGAGCACAUAUUUGUGGGUAGCGGUCUGGUUUGGAACAGCAACGGAGUUCUGCCGUUCACUUCGCGGAUUGCUGAAAAUGUUUGCAAAAAGACGAGAAGAUGAAAGAAAAUAAUGAUUAAAAAUUAAGGAAAGAAUGUGUUGGUUAUGAGUUGAUUACCCCUGAAAAGACUUUAUUUGCGCAUGUGAGUAAUCAGAGGCGAAAAGGAGAAUUUUUCUCUUUUUCUUACUUUUUCCAUUGGAAAGUGGGAAAGAAACAAAGAAAGAAAACACAUUUAGAGUUGACCGACGGGUUUUUUUAGUCAAAUUUUAUGUAUAAAUAAUUGUAUGUUAAAUUGUAUAUUUAUGUGUGUCUAGAAAAGCAGAAUGUAUCAUCCGUCGCCCCCUAAAUCUUCUCCUUUCCAAUUGAUUUGAUUAUCCCGUUUUGUAAUUGUGUCUGCUCCUGUCUACUACAAUUAUGUCGAUGAAGAAAUAGUACAGGCUGACCCUACGUGCAACGAAAGUUUUAGCCACAAAUGUUAAUUGCCUCGUCUUGCAACUAGUAGUUGAUAUGCUAGGUUUUUACAUUGAAAAUUGGAAUCAACUGUUAGAGUUCCAGGCGGAAAAAAUAGAUUUCGUUAUCCCUGGCAGGCGGAGGGCGCUAACAUCUGCUAACGUCAAAAUUGUCUAUUCCCUUCCGGCAGCUCUCCACGCACCACGUACCAAAGUAGACAGGAUCCCACAAUGUCCUGGUACUAAAUCGAAAGAAAAAUUCUAAAAGGACUGCACUGCAUUAAGUAGAUGUAUCAGCAAAAAUUUAUUACUAACUUGUGUUUUUUCUUCUAUGUUGACUACAAAUCAUUUGGAAUUAGAAUAGGAUUUUGACUGGCGCUGGGUGCCAAACAUGGAUGGUAAUUGGAAGUGCGAUUGGAAAUAUCCAUGAUUUAUUAACGUUGUCUCAUGUUACGGUAUUUUACUAAAGACAAAUUGAAAUGCA